rnacentral:rRNA from 1 species
AUUGAACGCUGGCGGCAUGCCUUACACAUGCAAGUCGAACGGCAGCACGGGAGCAAUCCUGGUGGCGAGUGGCGAACGGGUGAGUAAUAUAUCGGAACGUGCCCAGUCGUGGGGGAUAACGCAGCGAAAGCUGUGCUAAUACCGCAUACGAUCUCUGGAUGAAAGCGGGGGACUCGCAAGGGCCUCGCGCGAUUGGAGCGGCCGAUAUCAGAUUAGCUAGUUGGCGGGGUAAAGGCCCACCAAGGCGACGAUCUGUAGCUGGUCUGAGAGGACGACCAGCCACACUGGAACUGAGACACGGUCCAGACUCCUACGGGAGGCAGCAGUGGGGAAUUUUGGACAAUGGGCGCAAGCCUGAUCCAGCAAUGCCGCGUGCAGGAUGAAGGCCUUGGUU